rnacentral:rRNA from 1 species
AUACGUAGGUGGCGAGCGUUGUCCGGAAUUACUGGGUGUAAAGGGCGUGUAGGCGGGGGAGCAAGUCAGAUGUGAAAUUCCCAGGCUUAACCUGGGCGCUGCAUCUGAAACUGUUUCUCUUGAGUACUGGAGAGGAAAGUGGAAUUCCCAGUGUAGCGGUGAAAUGCGUAGAGAUUGGGAGGAACACCAGUGGCGAAGGCGGCUUUCUGGACAGUAACUGACGCUGAGGCGCGAAAGCGUGGGGAGCAAACAGGAUUAGAUACCCUGGUAGUCCACGCUGUAAACGAUGGAUACUAGGUGUGGGAGGUAUCGACCCCUUCCGUGCCGGAGUUAACACAAUAAGUAUCCCACCUGGGGAGUACGGCCGCAAGGUUGAA